AUGCUGAUGGGCUUUUGGAAUCACUUGAUGCUUGCGAACCAUGCCUCAUGGGCAAAGGUGACUAAGACUUCGUUCUUCGGAACAAUGGAGCAAGCAACUGAAUUAUUGGAAAUAAUACAUACUAAUGUAUGUGAUCUGAUGAGUGUUGAGGCUCACGGCGGGUAUCAUUAUUUUCUGACCUUCACAGAUGAUUUGAGCAGAUAUGAGUAUAUCUACUUGAUGAAACAUAAGUCUAAACAUUUGAAAAGUUCAAAGAAUUUCAGAGUGAAGUGGAAAGUCAUCGUAACAAGAAAAUUAAGUUUCUACGAUCUGAUCAUGGAGGUGAAUAUUUGA
rnacentral:rRNA from 1 species